rnacentral:rRNA from 1 species
UCAGGAUGAACGCUAGCUACAGGCGUAACACAUGCAAGUCGAGGGCGAGCAUUGGAGUAGCAAUACUCAGAUGGCGACCGGCGCACGGUGAGUAACACGUAUCCAACCUGCCGCUUACUCGGGGAUAGCCUUUCGAAAGAAAGAUUAAUACCCGAUGGUAUAAAGAGUUCGCAUGUUCUCUUUAUUAAAGAAUUUCGGUAAGCGAUGGGGAUGCGUUCCAUUAGAUAGUUGGCGGGGUAACGGCCCACCAAGUCUACGAUGGAUAGGGGUUCUGAGAGGAAGGUCCCCCACAUUGGAACUGAGACACGGUCCAAACUCCUACGGGAGGCAGCAGUGAGGAAUAUUGGUCAAUGGACGAGAGUCUGAACCAGCCAAGUAGCGUGAAGGAUGACUGCCCUAUGGGUUGUAAACUUCUUUUAUAAGGGAAUAAAGUGAGGGACGUGUCCCUUUUUGUAUGUACCUUAUGAAUAAGGAUCGGCUAACUCCGUGCCAGCAGCUGC